GUUAAACAGGUAGCAUCACCUCGAGCUCCCGGCGACGAGUGUCUUCGUUGAGACAAAGACUUACCUGCUUUGCUUCUCUGUUAGUUUCAACACCCAGCGUCAUGUUGGGAAUCUGGUUUCCCGCCUCGAGAUGGUCUCCUUCCUGGCUUUCGGGGUUGCAAAAAUCUUAAAGGGCGUCGUUCGGCCGAAGAGAGAAGAGAAGGACAUGCUGGUGAAGCGGCGUAACUGGCGCAGUGUGGGGUCUCUCGUUUUUAGUGGAUCGUGUCCCGAGGACGCAAGGGACCUCGUUGUGUUGCUGUGGAAAGCACACUGCCAGUGAGGCCCCUGUCGUACUGAGGUGCAAGGACACCAGGACAAUGAUAUGUAAAAGAGCUUUUACCUUCAUGCACCUAUGUACUCAAACGCAAACUAUACCGUGAAUGAACAUAUGAAUGAUUCCUUGAAGUUCAAAUGUAAAAUGACACAAUGGCUCAAUAAAGUUCAGAUACAAAACCAAUACAA